GACGAUGGCCGAGUGGUUAAGGCGUUAGACUUGAAAUCUAAUGGGUUCGCCCUCGUAGGUUCAAAUCCUGCUCGUGUCG
rnacentral:tRNA from 1 species